rnacentral:rRNA from 1 species
GUGCCAGCCGCCGCGGUAAUACGUAGGGUGCAAGCGUUAAUCGGAUUUACUGGGCGUAAAGCGUGCGCAGGCGGCUUCGCAAGUCAGGUGUGAAAGCCCCGGGCUUAACCUGGGAAUUGCGCUUGAAACUAUGGAGCUCGAGUGCGGCAGAGGGGGGUGGAAUUCCACGUGUAGCAGUGAAAUGCGUAGAGAUGUGGAGGAACACCGAUGGCGAAGGCAGCCCCCUGGGCCUGCACUGACGCUCAGGCACGAAAGCGUGGGGAGCAAACAGGAUUAGAAACCCUCGUAGUCC